GACAACUCAGCAGGCACAGGAAAGGGGUGGAGGAGCGGCAGGCUCUGUGGACACCAGGAAAUUGCUGGCGUAGGAGAGUGUCAGAGGAAUUUACAAGUCAGUGGAAAACAAGACAAACAGAGCUUCCAUUGCAAGGAGGGAUCUAAGAAGGAGGAAGAGGAGAGUCCUUUCUUCCCUUCCUUCAAGCCAACCAGAAAUCAGCACUACCCCUUCACCAGCUCUCUGAUCAGCACCUCUUCUCUAACACCACAGAAAGCAGAUCAUGCUGGGCACCAGAGAAGUGACACCCAGCAGCCAUGUGUUCCUUGGCCUCCUCUAGCGUAAUCAAGACGAGGGAAGAACGAAAGGCUAUACUGGAAACCACCCACCCCCAAAAAAUAACCAAUAGCCUCAGUUUUCCCAGAGUUGAGGGUUUCCUCAGGUGCAGGACUUGGAGUUCUGAAACUACAUGACCUUUGAGCAAACCAGAAUGGUUGGUCACCAUGCCUCCUCGGAAUCCCCCAACAUCCUACAUAUGAAAGGGGAAGUACCCAUGGACUCUACCCCUCCCCAUCAGCAGUCUUUCUAAAGAUCUGGCUACUUGACAGAAG
rnacentral:lncRNA from 1 species